GUAUUGCUGCAUAGAUAGCUCAGUUGGUUAGAGCUUGGUGCUGAUAACACCAUGGUUACAGGUUUGAUCACUGCACAGGACA